rnacentral:tRNA from 1 species
UUAGCAAAAGCCAAAUAGGAGGCAAAUUAUUGUUAAUAAUUCUUUGGGUGCAGCCCUUGCUAAG